GAUGAAGAACGCAGCGAGAUGCGAUAACUAAUGUGAAUUGCAGAAUUCAGUGAAUCAUCGAGUCUUUGAACGCACAUUGCGCCCCCUGGUAUUCCGGGGGGCAUGCCUGUCCGAGCGUCAUUGCUGCCCUCAAGCACGGCUUGUGUGUUGGGCUCCGUCCCCCCGGGGACGGGCCCGAAAGGCAGCGGCGGCACCGAGUCCGGUCCUCGAGCGUAUGGGGCUUUGUCACCCGCUCUGUAGGCCCGGCCGGCGCCAGCCGACAACCCAUCAUCCUUUUCAGGUUGACCUCGGAUCAGGUAGGGAUACCCGCUGAACUUAAGCAUAUCAAUAAGCGGAGGA
rnacentral:misc_RNA from 1 species